GCACUGCUGAAGAGUCCAAAAAUAGGACGAAAGGGCCAUCUAGUGC
rnacentral:hammerhead_ribozyme from 1 species